AUUGAACGCUAGCGGGAUGCCUUACACAUGCAAGUCGAACGGAGUGGCGACCGGGUGAGUAAUGUAUCGGAACGUGCCCAGUGGCGGGGGAUAACUACGCGAAAGCGUAGCUAAUACCGCAUACUAUUAGAGCAGCAGAUAUCGGAUUAGCUAGUUGGUGGGGUAACGGCUCACCAAGGCGACGAUCCUUAGCUGUUUUGAGAGGACGACCAGCCACACUGGAACUGAGACACGGCACAGACUCCUACGUGAGGUAGCAGUGGGGAAUUUUGGACAAGGGGCGAAACCCUGAUCCAGCCAUCCCGCGUGUGAGAUGAAGGCCUGCGGGUUGUAAAGCACUUUUGGCAGGAAGGCGGUACCUGCAGAAUAAGCACCGGCUAAAUACGUGCCAGCAGCCGCGGUAAUUC
rnacentral:rRNA from 1 species